rnacentral:tRNA from 1 species
CGGGGGGUGCCGGACGGGGCGGGUCCGGGCGUGUGGGGUCCGUGGCCGGGGCCGUCCGCCCUGACUCGCGCCGUUCCGACUCGUCGGUGCCCGGCC